rnacentral:rRNA from 1 species
CAAAUUGAGAGUUUGAUCCUGGCUCAGGAUGAACGCUGGCGGCGUGCCUAAUACAUGCAAGUCGAACGCUUUGUGGUUCAACUGAUUUGAAGAGCUUGCUCAGAUAUGACGAUGGACAUUGCAAAGAGUGGCGAACGGGUGAGUAACACGUGGGAAACCUACCUCUUAGCAGGGGAUAACAUUUGGAAACAGAUGCUAAUACCGUAUAACAAUGACAACCGCAUGGUUGUUAUUUAAAAGAUGGUUCUGCUAUCACUAAGAGAUGGUCCCACGGUGCAUUAGCUAGUUGGUAAGGUAAUGGCUUACCAAGGCGAUGAUGCAUAGCCGAGUUGAGAGACUGAUCGGCCACAAUGGGACUGAGACACGGCCCAUACUCCUACGGGAGGCAGCAGUAGGGAAUCUUCCACAAUGGGCGAAAGCCUGAUGGAGCAACGCCGCGUGUGUGAUGAAGGGUUUCGGCUCGUAAAACACUGUUGUAAGAGAAGAAUGACAUUGAGAGUAACUGUUCAAUGUGUGACGGUAUCUUACCAGAAAGGAACGGCUAAAUACGUGCCAGCAGCCGCGGUAAUACGUAUGUUCCAAGCGUUAUCCGGAUUUAUUGGGCGUAAAGCGAGCGCAGACGGUUAUUUAAGUCUGAAGUGAAAGCCCUCAGCUCAACUGAGGAAUUGCUUUGGAAACUGGAUGACUUGAGUGCAGUAGAGGAAAGUGGAACUCCAUGUGUAGCGGUGAAAUGCGUAGAUAUAUGGAAGAACACCAGUGGCGAAGGCGGCUUUCUGGACUGUAACUGACGUUGAGGCUCGAAAGUGUGGGUAGCAAACAGGAUUAGAUACCCUGGUAGUCCACACCGUAAACGAUGAGUGCUAGGUGUUUGAGGGUUUCCGCCCUUAAGUGCCGCAGCUAACGCAUUAAGCACUCCGCCUGGGGAGUACGACCGCAAGGUUGAAACUCAAAGGAAUUGACGGGGACCCGCACAAGCGGUGGAGCAUGUGGUUUAAUUCGAAGCAACGCGAAGAACCUUACCAGGUCUUGACAUCCCUUGACAACUCCAGAGAUGGAGCGUUCCCUUCGGGGACAAGGUGACAGGUGGUGCAUGGUUGUCGUCAGCUCGUGUCGUGAGAUGUUGGGUUAAGUCCCGCAACGAGCGCAACCCUUAUUACUAAUUGCCAGCAUUCAGUUGGGCACUCUAGUGAGACUGCCGGUGACAAACCGGAGGAAGGUGGGGAUGACGUCAAAUCAUCAUGCCCCUUAUGACCUGGGCUACACACGUGCUACAAUGGCGUAUACAACGAGUUGCCAACCCGCGAGGGUGAGCUAAUCUCUUAAAGUACGUCUCAGUUCGGAUUGUAGGCUGCAACUCGCCUACAUGAAGUCGGAAUCGCUAGUAAUCGCGGAUCAGCACGCCGCGGUGAAUACGUUCCCGGGUCUUGUACACACCGCCCGUCACACCAUGAGAGUUUGUAACACCCAAAGCCGGUGGGGUAACCUUCGGGAGCCAGCCGUCUAAGGUGGGACAGAUGAUUAGGGUGAAGUCGUAACAAGGUAGCCGUAGGAGAACCUGCGGCUGGAUCACCUCCUUU